AGAUGAAGCGUCUGGACGAUGGGACGGAGCAGGAGCAGGAGGCUGCUAUCAAGGAGACGUGCCAAGUCCUGAAGGAGAUGGAAAGCGAGGUCCAGAACCUCCGGGACGACAACAACCUGCUCCGCGACGAGCUCCUUGGCAAGGACCGGCAGCUUGCGGAGACGGAUACACUUUUAGUUGACAGGGAGCACCA